rnacentral:misc_RNA from 1 species
CCAAUAGCGUAUAUUAAAGUUGUUGCAGUUAAAAAGCUCGUAGUUGAAUUUCGGGGUCAGUAGGUCGGUCGUGCCACUGGUAUGAACUGGUUUUACUGAUUCCUCCCUCUUGAAGAACUGUAAUGCCAUUAAUUUGGUGUUGCAGGGAAUCAGGACUGUUACUUUGAAAAAAUUAGAGUGUUUAAAGCAGGCUUUAGCUUGAAUACAUUAGCAUGGAAUAAUGAAAUAGGACGUUUGAUCCUAUUUUGUUGGUUUCUAGGAUUGACGUAAUGAUUAAUAGGGAUAGUUGGGGGCAGUAGUAUUCAAUUGUCAGAGGUGAAAUUCUUGGAUUUAUUGAAGACUAACGACUACGAAAGCAGUUGCCAAGGAUGUUUUCAUUAAUCAAGAACGAAAGUUAGGGGAUCGAAGACGAUCAGAUACCGUCGUAGUCUUAACCAUAAACUAUGCCGACUAGGGAUCGGAUGAUGUUAAUUUUUUAAUGACUCAUUCGGCGCCUUACG